rnacentral:rRNA from 1 species
UACGUAGGUGGCGAGCGUUGUCCGGAUUUACUGGGCGUAAAGAGCGCGCAGGCGGCUGGUCAAGUCCGAUGUGAAAGCUCCCGGCUUAACUGGGAAAUUGCAUCGGAAACUGAUCGGCUGGAAGGUGGGAGAGGGUAGCGGAAUUCCCGGUGUAGUGGUGAAAUGCGUAGAUAUCGGGAGGAACACCAGUGGCGGAAGCGGCUACCUGGCCCAUUCUUGACGCUGAGGCGCGAAAGCUAGGGGAGCAAACGGG